rnacentral:misc_RNA from 1 species
GAAAUGCGAUACGUAAUGUGAAUUGCAGAAUUCAGUGAAUCAUCGAAUCUUUGAACGCACAUUGCACUCUCUGGUAUUCCGGAGAGUAUGCUUGUUUGAGUAUCAGUAAACACCUCAAAUCUCUUGUUUCUUGUGAAUAAGAGAAUUGGACUUGAGCAAUCCCAACUCUUGCAAAAGAGGCGGGUUGCUUGAAAUGCAGGUGCAGCUGGACAUUCUUCUGAGCUAAAAGCAUAUUUAUUUAGUCCCGUAAAACGGAUUAUUACUUUUGCUGCAGCUAACAUAAAGGUUGAAUGGCCAAUAUGGCUGACUGAUGCAGGAUUAACAGAGAAUUUAUUCUUUGUAAACUCGAUCUCAAAUCAAGUAAGACUACCCGCUGAACUUAA